ACUAUUUCAGAAAGCAGCCACAGGCCCUGUCUGGGGCAUCCUCAGAUGUCAGCAUCUCAAGGCAGCACAGGUGACAGGCUCUCUGCAAAGAGAAAGGAAUUUGUUAAUUGUCGUUGCUGAAGCCCUUGACUUGGACACUGUGCAGCUGGCAGAUCCUAGACCCUCCCAGAAAUGAGCACCUCUGGUCCUCCCUGCAGUCAAGGCAACAGACAAGAAGGCAGUGAGUUUGCCAAGCCUGGAGGGGGGUGGCUCAGGAGCACUGCAGACUCACUCUGCAGGGUGGCUGCCUCAGUGUUCCCAUCUGAAAAAGGGGAACAGGUAAGACGGCUCAGAUUAUUUCAGAGGUGCUUCUAGCAGUGACCUCCUGCCAAGCUGGCUUUUGGAAGAUGUGUUAAGUCUGCGGUUUCACAGGACACGUCGCCACUUUCUCCUCGGAAGGCAGAGAGAGCCUCAGCAUCAGAGGAGGGACACUGUGUAGGUGCGAGGGGUGUAGGACCUGUGAACUCUACCUCUUUGCCUCAGAUCUUCCCUCCGGACCUGCUCCUCGCCUUAACCCAUGCCCUGGGUUCCCGGCUCUCUUGUGUGGCAGAUCCUGGCUCACUCCUGCUUCUCCAGGAAGUGGUUCUCCUUCCUUCUGCAGCGGCCAUAUCCAAAGAUCUUGCAGAUCCUGGAGCUGAUGUUGAAGAAGGACCUGGAAGGAAGGCUCCAGGUAGAAGGCAGGUGGCGGGGCUCCAGAGACAAAGGAGGGUCAAUAAGAAGAUGGUCAUCACAGCGGUCUACACAGCAAGCAGCAGAAACAACCGGCAUGGCCAAGCAUGGUGACUCACACCUGUAAUCCGAACACUUUGGGAGGCCGAGGUGGGUGGAUCACCUGAGGUCAGGAGUUCGAGACCAGCCUGACCAACAUGGAGAAACCCUGCCUCUACUAAAAAUACAAAAAUUAACCAGGUAUGGUGGCAUGUGUCUGUAGUCCCAGCUACUCAGGAGGCUGAGGCAGGAGAAUUGAAGGAGGCGGAGGUUGCAGUGAGCCGAGAUCAUGCUACUGCACUACAGCCUGGGCAACAGAGUGAGACUUCAUCUCAAAAAAAAAAAAGGUCCACCUGGUGCCCCUGGCUUCAUCACCAAUGGGCUUACCAUGGCCACACGGGUCCUCUUUCAGGCCCUUGUGUCACUCUCUCCCAUGCUGACCAGCUCUGGCCACAAAGCUGCCUCUUCCAUCACUGGGAGCUCUUCCCCACCUCGGAGCUGUUCCCGUCACCUGGAUUGUCUUCCCUCCACAUUCCUGCCACCUCCUUCUGCUCAGCCUAAAGGUCACUUUCUCACAGAAGCUGUCCCUGAGCCUCAAUCUAAAUUGCAUCCCCACAAGGACACAAAGAUGUGAGCAAUAAACACUAAGGAUUCCAGAAGGGGGGAUGGAGGAGAGCAAAAGUUGAAAAACUACCUGUUGGGUACUAUAUUCACUGCUUGGGCGACGGGAUCGUUGGAAGCCCAAACCUCAGCAUCAUGCAAUACACCCGUGCAACAAACCUGCACACGUACUUUCUGAAUCUAAAAGAAUUUCUAAAAUAAAAUAAAUUGUACCCCCUUAGUUCUUUCUGAGCACCCUCUUUUUAUCUUCAUAACACCAUCAUUUGUAUUUAUGGAAUGAUUAUGCAUCAUUAUUUGGUAAAUGACCUCACCAGCUAGACUCUAAAUCAAAAAGGGCUGGGGCUGUAUCUGACAUAUUCUCAGUUGUAUCAGCAGCACCUAGCACGGCAUCUAACAUAAAUGAUACUUAUUUGUGGUUUGGCUUAA
rnacentral:lncRNA from 10 species